rfam:Oryza rufipogon genomic scaffold, chr03
AAAAACUCAAACCCUGAGUUUCCGUGUCCAUCUUUGACGGUCCGUCUUAUAUGAAAUUUUUUUAUAAUUCGUAUUUUUAUUGUUGUUAGAUGAUAAAACAUGAUUAAUAUUUUAUGCGUGACUUGUCUUUUUAAUUUUUUUCAUAAUUUUUUAAAUAAAACGGACGGUCAAACGUUGGGCACGGAAAUCAGGGUUUGUCUUUUU